AUCAAUUCACUGACCUCCUCCACAGCUUAGAUCAAGUGUAGUAUCUGUUCUUAAUAGUUUAACCACUAUUAUGAGGGCACCGCCCUCAUUCUUGGUUAUCUUAUUUUUGCCGCCCUUGUUCUUCUGUGCUCUGCUUGCAACACGGAGGACGUGAUGACCUUGGUACUGCACUACCGCCUUGUGUCGUCGGGGGAUC
rfam:Fibulorhizoctonia sp. CBS 109695 unplaced genomic scaffold FIBSPscaffold_75, whole genome shotgun sequence.